rnacentral:lncRNA from 1 species
CAGCCAGAGCAGACGUCUCCAUUCGGGACUCCUUACUCUUCAGUACCAGUUCCCUCUACUCUUGAUCUUGAGACUGCCCUACCUGAACCCCGGAUCUGCCCAGCCCUCCCCUAGGUGAUGCCUCAGACUUUGGGGUUGGAAGAGCUGGGGAGGGGAGCAACGGUUACCAUCACCUGACCGUACCCAGCCAAUUCACAAAGACAAGAUGUCAAGUUAAUGAGCCUGUAGGCUUCUAAUUAGCUGUCAAUUACCUCAAAUUAAUCAACUCCUCGCCUAAGUUCUUCCAGAUGCUUCCAGCCCUCAGCAGAUUGCCAUCAGCAGUCCACACCCGGCUGGUUUGCACCUCCCUCUGCUGGACUUUGAGCUGCGCGCCAAAAGAAAGAUGCACCU